rnacentral:rRNA from 1 species
UAACGUUCGGAAACGGACGCUAAUACCGCAUACGUCCUACGGGAGAAAGCGGGGGGAUCUUCGGACCUCGCGCCAUUAGAUGAGCCUAGGUCGGAUUAGCUAGUUGGUGAGGUAAUGGCUCACCAAGGCGACGAUCCGUAACUGGUCUGAGAGGAUGAUCAGUCACACUGGAACUGAGACACGGUCCAGACUCCUACGGGAGGCAGCAGUGGGGAAUAUUGGACAAUGGGCGAAAGCCUGAUCCAGCCAUGCCGCGUGUGUGAAGAAGGUCUUCGGAUUGUAAAGCACUUUAAGUUGGGAGGAAGGGUAGUAACCUAAUACGUUGCUACUUUGACGUUACCGACAGAAUAAGCACCGGCUAACUUCGUG